CUGCCGGUGACCUGGGCCGAGCCCUCCCGGUCGGCUAAGAUUGCUGAGGAGGCGGCGGGUAGCUGGCAGGCGCCGACUUCCGAAGGCCGCCGUCCGGGCGAGGUGUCCUCAUGACUUCUCUUGUGGACCAUGUCCGUGAUCUUUUUUGCCUGCGUGGUACGGGUAAGGGAUGGACUGCCCCUCUCAGCCUCUACUGAUUUUUACCACACCCAAGAUUUUUUGGAAUGGAGGAGACGGCUCAAGAGUUUAGCCUUGCGACUGGCCCAGUAUCCAGGUCGAGGUUCUGCAGAAGGUUGUGACUUUAGUAUACAGUAAGUGAUCAUAUUCACUUUUUCAGAAUAUUAGCAAAAUUUGGAUUACUUUUAACUACAUGUAGUGAUAAUCUUAUGCUGAUCACAUUGUGUAUUAAAAGUAGAUCUAGCAUCAGUGGUCUGAGAUCAUGUGUGUCUACAACAGAAUCAUAAAAGAAAUGGGUUUUCUUAGAGCCUCAGGAAUGGCUGCUCCAACUUUUUUUUUUUUUUUUUUCUUUUGAGGCAGAGUUUUGCUCUGUCACCCAGGCUGGAGUGCAGUGGCACCAUCUUGGCUCACUGCAACCUCCGCCUCCUGGGUUCAAGCAGUUCUCGUGCCUCAGCCUCCUGAGUAGCUGGGAUCAUAGGCACAUGCCACGAUGCCCAGCUAAUUUUUAUAUUUUUAGUAGAGAUGGGGUUUCACCAUGUUGCCCAGGCUGGUCUCGAAUUCCAGAUCUCAGGUGAUCCACCUGCCUCGACCUGUCAGAGUACUGGGAUUACAAGUGUGAGCCACUGCACCCAGCCGUGGCUGCUCCACCUCUUAACUUCUGUUAGUGGAGUGCCCAUGAGCAUUGGGAGACCUGGGUUCAUGUCUUUAGUUUUGUAGUUUUUUCUUCACUCAGAUGCAGGGGAAGAGAAAAGGUAAGGAGGGAGGAGAUACUAGAUUAUAAUGUGGGGAGGGAAAAUAAUGAGAGUUAGAAAGCCAAG
rnacentral:lncRNA from 1 species